GAUGAACGCUGGCGGCGUGCCUAAUACAUGCAAGCCGAGCGAACGGACGAGAAGCUUGCUUUUCUGAUGUUAGCGGCGGACGGGUGAGUAACACGUGGAUAGCUAACUAUUAUUACGGGGUGAAUUUCGGAAAACCGGAGCCAUUACGGGAUAAUAUUUUCAACGGCUGGGUUCAAAGGAGAAAGAGGGCUUGCCCGCCCCUAUAAGCCGAUGCCGGGUUGCUUUGGCUAGUUGGUAAGGAAACGCCUUACCAAGGAAACGAUGCAUAGCCGACCUGAGGGGGUGAUCGGCCACACUGGAACUGGGGCCCGGUCCAGGCCCCUACGGGAGGCCGCAGUAGGGAAUCUUCCGCCAUGGGCGAAAGCCUGACGGAGCAACGCCGCGUGAGUGAUGAAGGUCUUCGGAUCGUAAAGCUCUGUUAUUAGGGAAGAACAUAUGUGUAAGUAACUGUGCACAUCUUGACGGUACCUAAUCAGAAAGCCCCGGCUAACUACGUG
rnacentral:rRNA from 1 species